rnacentral:tRNA from 1 species
UUGGAUGACAAAAAAGAAAUAAUAGAAAAUAUAAAAAUUUUCGACAAAUUUCCUCCACUAACCUCAAGGUUAAAUUGUCAA